UGCCAUGCAAAGGCAGGAGUCUGGGUCAA
rnacentral:piRNA from 1 species